UACGGGGGGGGCAAGCGUUGUUCGGAAUUACUGGGCGUAAAGGGCUCGUAGGCGGAUCGCUAAGUCAGGGGUGAAAUCCCAGGGCUCAACCCUGGAACUGCCUUUGAUACUGACGAUCUGGAGAUCGGGAGAGGUUGGUGGAAUUCCGAGUGUAGAGGUGAAAUUCGUAGAUAUUCGGAGGAACACCAGAAGCGAAGGCGGCCAACUGGCCCGAUACUGACGCUGAGGCGCGAAAGCGUGGGGAGCAAACAGG
rnacentral:rRNA from 1 species